AUCUUAGAUUAGAUUAUCUUCUAGGAAACCAACUCAACUUAACUUAUCAAACCCAAGGAAAAAAAAAAAAGGGGGGGGAGUGAGAAGGGGGCGCGGG
rnacentral:rRNA from 1 species